UACGUAGGGUGCAAGCGUUGCUCGGAAUCACUGGGCGUAAAGCGCACGUAGGCGGCUUCUUAAGUCAGGGGUGAAAUCCUGGAGCUCAACUCCAGAACUGCCUUUGAUACUGAGGAGCUUGAGUCCGGGAGAGGUGAGUGGAACUGCGAGUGUAGAGGUGAAAUUCGUAGAUAUUCGCAAGAACACCAGUGGCGAAGGCGGCUCACUGGCCCGGUACUGACGCUGAGGUGCGAAAGCGUGGGGAGCAAACAGG
rnacentral:rRNA from 1 species